AUUGAACGCUGGCGGCAUGGCUAAAACAUGCAAGUCGAACGCGAAAGGGGGGCAACCCCUUAGAGUGGCGAAAGGGCGAGUAAUGCGUUUCUAACGUACCCCGGGCUCACGGAUAGCUCGCCGAAAGGCGGAUUAAUACGUGAUGACACCGCGAGAUCAGAUGGUCUUGCGUUCAAAGGCUUGCCGGCCCGGGAGCGGGGAACGUCCUAUCAGGUAGUUGGUGAGGUAAUGGCUCACCAAGCCUAAGACGGGUAGCGGGUGUGAGAGCACGGCCCGCCGCAUCGGGACUGAGACACUGCCCGGACUCCUACGGGAGGCUGCAGUAACGAAUAUUCCGCAAUGCGCGAAAGCGCGACGGAGCGAUGCCGCGUGCAGGAUGAACGCCCCUCGGGGUGUAAACUGCUGUCAGGGUUUAGCAACAC
rnacentral:rRNA from 1 species